GACGAACGCUGGCGGCGUGCUUAACACAUGCAAGUCGAACGGAAAGGCCCUGCUUUUGUGGGGUGCUCGAGUGGCGAACGGGUGAGUAACACGUGAGUAACCUGCCCUUGACUUUGGGAUAACUUCAGGAAACUGGGGCUAAUACCGGAUAGGAGCUCCUGCUGCAUGGUGGGGGUUGGAAAGUUUCGGCGGUUGGGGAUGGACUCGCGGCUUAUCAGCUUGUUGGUGGGGUAGUGGCUUACCAAGGCUUUGACGGGUAGCCGGCAUGGGAGGGGGAACGGCCACAUUGGGACUGAGAUACGGCCCAGACUCCUACGGGAGGCAGCAGUGGGGAAUAUUGCACAAUGGGCGGAAGCCGGAUGAAGCAACGCCGCGUGCGGGAUGACGGCCUUCGGGUUGUAAACCGCUUUCGCCUGUGACGAAGCGUGAGUGACGGUAAUGGGUAAAGAAGCACCGGCUAACUACGUG
rnacentral:rRNA from 1 species